UACGUAGGGUGCGAGCGUUAAUCGGAAUUACUGGGCGUAAAGGGCGCGUAGGCGGCGGGGUAAGUCGGGUGUGAAAUCUCAGAGCUCAACUCUGAAACUGCACUCGAUACUGCUCUGCUUGAGGACUGGAGAGGAGACUGGAAUUCUCGGUGUAGCGGUGAAAUGCGUAGAUAUCGAGAGGAACACCUGCGGCGAAGGCGGGUUGCUGGGCUGACACUGACGCUGAUGCGCGAAAGCCAGGGGAGCGAACGGG
rnacentral:rRNA from 1 species